CAAUAGCGUAUAUUAAAGUUGUUGCGGUUAAAAAAGCUCGUAGUUGGAUUUCUGUUGAGGACGACCGGUCCGCCCUCUGGGUGAGUAUCUGGCUCGGCCUUGGCAUCUUCUUGGAGAACGUAACUGCACUUGACUGUGUGGUGCGGUAUCCAGGACUUUUACUUUGAGGAAAUUAGAGUGUUUCAAGCAGGCGUACGCCUUGAAUACAUUAGCAUGGAAUAAUAAGAUAGGACCUUGGUUCUAUUUUGUUGGUUUCUAGAGCUGAGGUAAUGAUUAAUAGGGAUAGUUGGGGGCAUUCGUAUGAUGGUGUUAGAGGUGAAAUUCUUGGAUCGCCGUCAGACGAACUACUGCGAAAGCAUUUGCCAAGAAUGUUUUCAUUAAUCAAGAACGAAAGUCAGAGGUUCGAAGAUGAUCAGAU
rnacentral:rRNA from 1 species